UGUAGAGGGAGUUUCGGAAGCGGCGCCGGCCUAAGUUCCUUGGAACAGGGCGUCAUAGAGGGUGAGAAUCCCGUACGUGGCCGGCGGUCAAUUCCAUGUGAAACCCCUUCGACGAGUCGAGUUGUUUGGGAAUGCAGCUCAAAAUGGGUGGUAAAUUUCAUCUAAAGCUAAAUACUGGCCAGAGACCGAUAGCGCACAAGUAGAGUGAUCGAAAGAUGAAAAGCACUUUGGAAAGAGAGUUAAAAAGUACGUGAAAUUGUUGAAAGGGAAGCGCUUGCAAUCAGACUUGCUCGCGGGUGAUCAGCCCCCCUUCGCGGGGGGUGCACUCGCCCGCGAUCAGGCCAGCAUCGGUUUCGACGGGCGGAUAAAGGCCCCAGGAAUGUAGCUCCCCUCGGGGAGUGUUAUAGCCUGGGGUGCCAUGCGCCCAGUCGGGACCGAGGACCGCGCUUCGGCUAGGAUGCUGGCGUAAUGGUUGUAAGCGACCCGUCUUGAAACACGGACCAAGGAGUCUAACAUCUAUGCGAGUGUUUGGGUGGUAAACCCAUGCGCGGAAUGAAAGUGAACGGAGGUGUGAGCCCUUUUCGGGGGGCGCACCAUCGACCGAUCCAGAUGUCUUCGGAUGGAUUUGAGUAGGAGCAUAGCUGUUGGGACCCGAAAGAUGGUGAACUAUGCCUGGAUAGGGUGAAGCCAGAGGAAACUCUGGUGGAGGCUCGCAGCGGUUCUGACGUGCAAAUCGAUCGUCAAAUCUGGGUAUAGGGGCGAAAGGUGCGUGAUAAUUGUAGUGUAAACAUUUGUGGAACGACUGCUAACUUUUUCAAUAGACUAAUCGAACCAUCUAGUAAACCACUACUAGAGAUACUACACGAAAAGGGGCCGAUAAAAUCGCCUCUGUAGUCCCCCGUCGCUGGGGGGCAACAUCGCCGGUCUCCGGGAACACCCUAUUAUCGGGCUACCCUCACUGAGCUCCGGCUCAGUCACAGACUAAGUGGCGGUGGCCGCGGGAGCCCGCGGUUAGGAUAUAGUCGGCGGGACCUCUGGCGAGGUACUCGGUUCGCGAGCUGGUUUCAGCCGAAGUUUCCCUCAGGAUAGCAGUAACGUUUUCAGUUUUAUGAGGUAAAGCGAAUGAUUAGAGGCCUCGGGGGUGAAACACC
rnacentral:rRNA from 1 species